GACAGAGGUCCCAAGCGUUAGGCGGAAUCACUGGGCUUAAAGCGUGUGUAGGCGGAUUUGUAAGUACCUUGUGAAAUCCCACGGCUCAACCGUGGAACUGCUUGGUAUACUGCUUAUCUUGGGUCAUCUAGGGGCGAGCGGAACAAACGGUGGAGCGGUGAAAUGCGUAGAUAUCGUUUGGAACGCCAAUGGUGAAAACAGGUAGCUGGGGUUGUGCUGACGCUGAGACACGAAAGCCAGGGGAGCGAACGGG
rnacentral:rRNA from 1 species